rnacentral:rRNA from 1 species
UACGUAGGUGGCAAGCGUUGUCCGGAUUUACUGGGCGUAAAGGGCGUGCAGGCGGUUUGUUAAGUGCAGGGUGAAAGCUCCCGGCUCAACUGGGAGAUGUCCUUGCAUACUGGCAGACUUGAGGGAGGCAGAGGAAAGUGGAAUUCCCGGUGUAGUGGUGAUAUGCGUAGAUAUCGGGAAGAACACCCGUGGCGAAGGCGGUUCUCUGGGACGGUACUGACGCUGAGACGCGAAAGCGUGGGGAGCGAACAGG